rnacentral:tRNA from 2 species
GGGCGGUUAGCUCAGUUGGUAGAGCGCCUGCCUUACAAGCAGGAUGUCACAGGUUCGAGUCCUGUACCGCCCA